GUGGGGAAUCUUGCGCAAUGGGCGAAAGCCUGACGCAGCCAUGGCGCGUGAAUGAUGAAGGUCUUAGGAUUGUAAAAUUCUUUCACCGGGGACGAUAAUGACGGUACCCGGAGAAGAAGCUCCGGCUAACUUCGUGCCAGCAGCCGCGGUAAUACGAAGGGGGCUAGCGUUGCUCGGAUUUACUGGGCGUAAAGGGCGCGUAGGCGGACAUUUAAGUCAGGGGUGAAAUCCCGGGGCUCAACCUCGGAACUGCCUUUGAUACUGGGUGUCUUGAGUAUGAGAGAGGUGUGUGGAACUCCGAGUGUAGAGGUGAAAUUCGUAGAUAUUCGGAAGAACACCAGUGGCGAAGGCGACACACUGGCUCAUUACUGACGCUGAGGCGCGAAAGCGUGGGGAGCAAACAGGAUUAGAAACCCCGGUAGUCC
rnacentral:rRNA from 1 species